rnacentral:rRNA from 1 species
ACAUGCCUAAAACAUAGUGUUAAUGCAAUGGAUCCAAUUAGAACUCCACAGUUAAGCGCGCUCAGGAUAGAGUAGUAUUGGGAUGGGUGGCCCCCCGGGAAGUGGUAGUGUUUUGCAUGCC